CCAAAGGCUCUUUUCAGAGCCACCUACAAUUUUGUGGAAGAACUG
rfam:Homo sapiens chromosome 6, GRCh38 reference primary assembly.